UUAGCAUGAAAGAGCAAAGUUGGAAGACAAGGUCAUCAGGCCUGCUGGGUUAAGACAGACGUUCUUAUCUCGGGGAAAGAAAGAAAGAAGGGAAUCAGCAGUUCACCAUCUUGGUGAGAUGAUGCAAGCAAGGGCAGCAAAACAAAUAAAUGCCCGAUCCUGAUUGGACCGUGCCUGGAUUCUGCCUCUUUUGUUUUCCCUCCUCAUAUCAUGACAACAUCACAGCCCCGCUAAGCUUUGAGUAGAUUUUCCCAGCUAUGUGUGGGAUAUUAUGGCGCUCAUCCCGUAGCCAGAGAGAAGAGGCAACAUACUGACCUUUCCCAGUGGCUGCAGACGUUGGGGUCAUCGGGGUUAAGAGUCCAUACGUGAGCCGUCAAGACCAAAAUCAGGCGCAAGGACGACAGAGUAACCGGUGAUCCCAUCACUCAAACUGAAACAGGAAUAAAAUUAGAUCAGGAUUCAGAUUCAAUUCACUUACAGGAA